UGGGACAAUGUCUCCUGCCUUCUUGUGAUCACAGGACUCAGACUUAUGCCUAGUGGUAGGAGACAGCUUGAAAGCAGAGAAGGAGCUAACAGCAUCAGUCACUGAGGUAAGUGGGAGUAAGAGUUUGCUGGAAAGGCCCAAGAUUUCCGGGGAAGAUUGCUGGGAGUGACCAGGGUGUCCAGGAUGCCAGACUUCCCUCUCCACAAGGCCUCUCUUUCCCAGGCCAUUCCUGUAUCACGAGACUGGGAGCUGCUUCCCGGUGCUGCUGCCUCUGCUGAGCCACAAUCCAAGAACCUGGGUUCUGGGCACUGUGGCCCGGAGCCCAGCUCCUCAGGCCAGCGCCUGUAUCCUGAGGUUUUCUAUGGCAGUGCUGGGCCUUCCAGUUCUCAGGUAGGCCCUGCUUCCCAUUGCAUGACCCCUUCAGUAAAUAAUUUUUUUUCUGCCUGGUAUGUAUUUAUAAUCAAGCCUUUCUAUGUUGUAGAGUUGUGAAAUACCACUUUGUCACAUCAUUUUUCCUCCCUACUUUUUGCUUCUAUGGGUGGGAUGGUGAUCUUUUUUCUUGACCACAGAUACUAAAGCUGUUUCAACCCUGCUCCUCUCCUGCAGAUCUCUGGGGGAGCCAUGGACUCUCAGUUACAUCCAAACAGUGGAGGCUUCCGUCCUGGGACACCCUCACUGCACCCUUACAGAUCACAGCCCCUAUACCUACCCCCCGGCCCAGCCCCUCCCUC
rnacentral:sRNA from 1 species